AUGGACAAAUGAAAUAAAAUACACAUGGGAUUUUAAAUGUUUUCAUUUUUUUAUUAUUCACGACGUUUGUGAGUUUUAAAUGUAUACUGUCUCAAACUGAAUGUGUUAUUUUUGUUGUAGGUGUGUUGGUGUAAAAAUUGAUGCUGACUGAACUCAGGCAGUUGUGCUGGACCUUCUGUACUUUAUACAGGAGAUGACAGUAAACUUUUAAGUUUAAGAGGUGUGUUGGUGUAAAAAUUGAUGCUGACUG